rnacentral:rRNA from 1 species
GAUGAACGCUGGCGGCGUGCCUAAUACAUGCAAGUCGAGCGAACGGACGAGAAGAUUGCUUCUCUGAUGUUAGCGGCGGACGGGUGAGUAACACGUGGAUAACCUACCUAUAAGACUGGGAUAACUUCGGGAAACCGGAGCUAAUACCGGAUAAUAUUUUGAACCGCAUGGUUCAAAAGUGAAAGACGGUCUUGCUGUCACUUAUAGAUGGAUCCGCGCUGCAUUAGCUAGUUGGUAAGGUAACGGCUUACCAAGGCAACGAUGCAUAGCCGACCUGAGAGGGUGAUCAGCCACACUGGAACUGAGACACGGUCCAGACUCCUACGGGAGGCAGCAGUAGGGAAUCUUCCGCAAUGGGCGAAAGCCUGACGGAGCAACGCCGCGUGAGUGAUGAAGGUCUUCGGAUCGUAAAACUCUGUUAUUAGGGAAGAACAUAUGUGUAAGUAACUGUGCACAUCUUGACGGUACCUAAUCAGAAAGCCACGGCUAACUACGUG